rnacentral:rRNA from 1 species
AGUGAACGCUGGCGGUAGGCCUAACACAUGCAAGUCGAACGGCAGCACAGUAAGAGCUUGCUCUUACGGUUGGCGAGUGGCGGACGGGUGAGGAAUACAUCGGAAUCUACUUUUUCGUGGGGGAUAACGUAGGGACACUUACGCUAAUACCGCAUACGACCUACGGGUGAAAGCAGGGGAUCUUCGGACCUUGCGCGAUUGAAUUAGCCGAUGUCGGAUUAGCUAGUUGGCGGGGUAAAGGCCCACCAAGGCGACGAUCCGUAGCUGGUCUGAGAGGAUGAUCAGCCACACUGGAACUGAGACACGGUCCAGACUCCUACGGGAGGCAGCAGUGGGGAAUAUUGGACAAUGGGCGCAAGCCUGAUCCAGCCAUACCGCGUGGGUGAAGAAGGCCUUCGGGUUGUAAAGCCCUUUUGUUGGGAAAGAAAAGCAGCAGGUUAAUACCCCGAUGUUCUGACGGUACCCAAAGAAUAAGCACCGGCUAACUUCGUG